AACUAGUAGAGAGUGCUUUGUGAAUGUGUGAGGGAAAGAUGAGACAUUGAGGGAAGAUUGGACAGCUGCCUAGAGGGAAAGGAAAAAGAGGGCUGGAAAACGUGAGAGGAAGAAGAAGGAGGAGAACCAGCAGGAGAAGAGAAAGAAUAGUGUCAAACCUUCCUCAAACUUAGUUAGAUUCGAAAGGUAUGGGUCAUGAAACUCCCUUCCUCUUCUCCUUAAGACCAGAAAUGGAAAUGAAGAAGAAAACCCUAAGAAAAUUGACCUAAGACCUAAGCUAGCUGUGAAGGAAACUGAAAUUAACUAGGAGGACAAGGAAAUAGAAAUGAAAUGAAGCCAAUUUCAGAACAUCUAACAAAGAAAAAAUGAAUAAAGUGGAAAUAACAAAUCAUGGUAGAGGGCUGACUUUAACUAUGGGGUUGGCCAGCAUGCAUGUGUGUGUUCUUCUGGGAUUUGUUGAAGGAUUAUGUGCUGAAAUUGAUGGUUUCAAUGUGUGUGUUCUGCUGGAAUUUAUUGAAAGAUUAUAUGUUGUAAUUGAUGGUUUUCAAUGUGUGUGUUCUGCUGGGAUUUUGUUGAAGGAUUAUGUGCUGAAAUUGAUGGUUUCAAUGUGUGUGUUCUGCUGGAACUUAGUGACAGUGUAUAUGCUAGGGUUGUUACAGCAUGUGUGGUAUGUGUUCAUGCCAAAAUGUGUGUUGUGUAGCAAAAUUGUGAUUCGCUGCCGAAACUGCGUCAGCUGCAGCGAAUUAGCAUUCGCUGCCGAAACUGAGUUAUCUGCAGCGAAUUUGUGAUUCGCUGCCGAAACUGAGUCUUCUGCAGUGAAUUAGCAUUCGCUGUCGAAUUGUGUGUUAUGCAGCGAAAUUGUGAUUCGCUGCCGAAAUUGUAUCGGCUGCAGUGAAUUAGCAUCGCUGUUGAAACUGAGUUGUCUGCAGCGAAUUUGUGAUUCGCUGCCGAAACUGAGUCUUCUGCAGCGAAUUAGCAUUCGCUGCCAAAUUGUGUGUUGUGCAGCGAAUUGUGAUUCGUUGCCAAAACUGUGUCAGCUGCAGCGAAUUAGCAUUCGCUGCCGAAUUAUGUGUUGUGCAGCGAAUUGUGAUUCGCUGCCGAAACUGUGUCAGCUGCAGCGAAUUAGCAUUCGCUGCCGAAUUAUGUGUUGUGCAGCGAAUUGCGAAUUAGCAUUCACUAUCGAAUUAUGUGUUGUGCAGCGAAUUGUGAUUCGCUCCUGAAACUUUGUCAGCUGCAGCGAAUUAGCAUUCGCUGCCGAAUUAUGUGUUGUGCAGCGAAAUUAUGAUUCACUGCUGAAACUGUGUCAGCUGCAGCGAAUUAGCAUUCGCUGCCGAAUUAUGUGUUGUGCAGCGAAAUUGUGAUUCGCUGCCGAAACUGUAUCGGCUGCAUCGAAUUAGCAUUCGCUGCCGAAACUGAGUUGUCUGCAGCGAAUUUGUGAUUCGCUGGCGAAACUGAGUCUUCUGCAGCGAAUUAGCAUUCGCUGCCGAAUUGUGUGUUGUGCAGUGAAAUUGUGAUUCGCUGCCAAAACUGUGUCGGCUGCAGCGAAUUAGCAUUCCCUGCCGAAACUGAGUUGUCUGCAGCGAAUUAGCAUUCGCUGCCGAAUUGUGUGUUGUGCAGCGAAAUUGUGAUUCGCUGCCGAAACUGAGUUGUCUGCUACGAGUUUGCAUUCGCUGCUGAAUUGGCUGCCUGCAGCGAAACAGUUUUCUCUGCCGAAUUGGGCAGCCUGCAUCGAACUAGUUCUCGCUACCGAUUUCUACAAUAAGCCUCCUAGGCAGAAAUGACUUAAAUGCUAGUAACAAUUUCAUGGUAUGAUGAUGUAAAAUGUGGAACACUCGAAUGUGACACAUAUGAACUCUUGAAAUAAGUGUGGUGACGAAUGUGAUUGAAAAAUACAAAUGUAUUGAUUUGUGACCAUUGAUGUCUUAGGUGGUGCGGUCGGGAUUGGACCAUCGUCAAGACAAGAACAACCUACAGGUGGAGCAGGUAGGUGACUUGCACCUUCCUUUUUCAUACGUUGAAUAAUGAAAUACUUUAUCAUGAAUAUUACCAUAUUGUGUUAGAACAUAUAUUAGAUUGUCGAACGGAUGGCCGGGACAAAGAAUGAUUAGCUUUGGCUAAUGGCAUCCGAAUGGAUGACCAGGAUGAAGGAUUGAUUAGCUUUGGCUAAUGGCAUCCGAAUGGAUGACCAGGAUGAAGGAUUGAUUAGCUUUGGCUAAUGGCAUCCGAAUGGAUGACCAGGAUGAAGGAUUGAUUAGCUUCGGCUAAUGGCAUCCGAAUGGAUGACCAUGACGAACGACUGAUUAGCUUUGGCUAAUGGCAUCCAAUGGAUGGCCGGGACAAAGAAUGAUUAGCUUUGGCUAAUGGCAUCGUAAUGGAUGACCGGGACGAACGACUGAUUAGCUUUGGCUAAUGACAUCCAAUGGAUGGCCGGGACAAAGAAUGAUUAGCUUUGGCUAAUGGCAUCCGAAUGGAUGACCGGGACGAACGACUGAUUAGCUUUGGCUAAUGGCAUCCAAAUGGAUGGCCGGGAUAAAUGAAUGAUUAGCUUCGGCUGGAUGACCGGGACGAACGAUUGAUUAGCUUUGGCUAAUGGCAUCCGAAGUGGAUGACCGGGGUGAGUGAACGGUUAACCUCAGCAAAUGAUGCCUUAAGAGGACAGCCGGGUUUAAGAUUAUGGUUGAUUGCAAAAAUUGGUGCAUCUAUAUGUACUACAAGCUGUUUAUACCAAGUACAUGAAGAAAUUAUAAAUGUUAAUGCUUCAUUUAACUGGCAGACCGUUUAGUUACCAUUAUUAUUAUUAUUAUUAUUAUUAAGUAAUUGCAUUCUCUUAAAUGUUUUGUACUGCAGUAGGGACGUCACACCAACGAGAUGUCUAGGAAACCCAAUACACGGGAACCUACUUUUGCAAGAAAUCAUGUAGAUGCAUUCUAAAUCACAAUGUAUUUUGUAUUAAUCAAUGUACUGAAUGUAUAACUUUUAUUAGAUCCUUUUGUUUAAAUUCGUAAUGGCUAUUAGUAGGAUAGGAAUGCAAACUCAUGUCUAUGUAUGUAUAUUUUUAAUAUGAACUU
rnacentral:lncRNA from 1 species